GGGCUCAUAGCUCAGGUGGUUAGAGCGCACGCCUGAUAAGCGUGAGGUCGGUGGUUCAAGUCCACUUGAGCCCACCA
rnacentral:tRNA from 1 species